rnacentral:rRNA from 1 species
CCAGACUCCUACGGGAGGCAGCAGUGGGGAAUAUUGCACAAUGGGGGAAACCCUGAUGCAGCGACGCCGCGUGAGUGAAGAAGUAUUUCGGUACGUAAACUUCUAUCAGCAGGGAAGAAAAUGACGGUACCUGACCAAGAAGCCCCGGCUAACUACGUGCCAGCAGCCGCGGUAAUACGUAGGGGGCAAGCGUUAUCCGGAUUUACUGGGUGUAAAGGGAGCGUAGACGGCCAUGCAAGUCUGAUGUGAAAACCCGGGGCUCAACCCCGGGACUGCAUUGGAAACUGUGCGGCUGGAGUGUCGGAGAGGCAAGUGGAAUUCCUAGUGUAGCGGUGAAAUGCGUAGAUAUUAGGAGGAACACCAGUGGCGAAGGCGGCUUGCUGGACGACGACUGACGUUGAGGCACGAAGGCCAGGGGAGCGAAAGGGAUUAGAUACCCCUGUA